rnacentral:rRNA from 1 species
CUCUCGGCAACGGAUAUCUCGGCUCUUGCAUCGAUGAAGAACGUAGCGAAAUGCGAUACUUGGUGUGAAUUGCAGAAUCCCGUGAACCAUCGAGUCUUUGAACGCAAGUUGCGCCUGAAGCCAUUAGGUUGAAGGCACGUCUGCCUGGGCGUCACGCAUUGCG